CUGAACACCAGUGUGACACCAGGACUCAACACCAGUGUGACACCAGCACUCAACACCAGUGUGACACCAGCACUUAACACCAGUGUGACACCAGCACUCAACACCAGUGUGACACCAGGUCUUGACACCAGCACUUAACACCAGUGUGACACCAGCACUCAACACCAGUGUGACACCAGGUCUCAACACCAGUGUGACACCAGCACUCAACACCAGUGUGACACCAGGUCUCAACACCAGUGUGACACCAGCACUCAACACCAGUGUGACACCAGGACUCAACACCAGUGUGACAUCAGGUCUUGACACCAGCACUUAACACCAGUGUGACACCAGGACUCAACACCAGCACUUAACACCAGUGUGACACCAGCACUUAACACCAGUGACACCAGGUCUCAACACCAGCACUUAACACCAGUGUGACACCAGCACUUAACACCAGUGACACCAGGUCUCAACACCAG